GGUACCAAGCAGUAUUGUCCCACUGUGGCUGUCAGGACACCCUCUUGCUGAACAACAGUCAUCCCAGAUGGCAGUCACUGUACUUUGCACGUGCACAGUGUAUGCAAGUUUCUGCAGCAGGAAAAAGGAAUGGAGUGGCCAGGCUGUUGUCUCGCCCUCUCUUUCCCUGGUCAUUCUUUAAGCACAAUAGCAUUGUAUUAACAGUCCUAUUGAUAUGAUCGCUCGAAGUGCGAACCCACCUCGCUGCAACAGGGCUCUUUGUGCUGUUGAGGCCUCUGUUCAGAAAAGCACUUAAGCCUGGGCUUAAACCUGCGCCCUUCAGCCAGCAUCUGCUUAAGAGUUUUGCCGAAAUUAAAGCCUUCACAUGGCAGAAUAAACAGCUGGGUUUAACUUUCUUGA